rnacentral:misc_RNA from 1 species
GAACAUUGCAGGAUCUAUGACUUCCUGCUAUGUAGCAACUGGUUCAUUUUCAAGGACUGCUGUGAAUUUCAGUGCAGGAUGCGAAAGUGUAAUAUCCAAUAUAGUAAUGGCUAUUACAGUAUUUUUGUCACUGGAACUGUUCACUAGGCUCUUGUACUACACUCCCAUUGCCAUCCUUGCUUCAAUCAUUCUAUCAGCUCUUCCUGGACUCAUUAACAUCCAUGAAGCUUACUACAUCUGGAAGGUCGAUAAGCUAGAUUUCCUCGCCUGCAUUGGUGCUUUCUUUGGUGUCUUGUUUGCUUCAGUGGAAAUCGGUCUUCUUGUUGCGGUAACUAUCUCUUUUGCCAAGAUAUUGCUAAACGCCAUUCGACCGGGAAUAGAAGAACUUGGAAGGCUUCCAAGAACAGACACCUAUUGUGACAUCAAUCAAUAUCCCAUGGCCAUCAAAACUCCAGGCAUUUUAAUAGUCCGUGUCAACUCUGCCCCACUUUGCUUUGCUAAUGCCAAUUUUAUAAGAGAAAGGAUAACGAGAUGGGUGAUAGAGGAAGAGGAUAAAUCUAAAGAAAGC